rnacentral:lncRNA from 1 species
UUGUGCUGCCUACCGCACCGUGUACAUCUGGAGUUACCUGAACCAGAGCUCGAACCAUCACCUAAACCCAGACCAGACUUUAUCUGUUCCCAAAACUUACUCUUCUUCGAUCUUCUGAGGCCUCUGCCUCCCUUCUUACUCUUUGUGACAGCCUCGCUUAGAGGGGAGAGAUCAACAUCACUUGUCCCCGGGAUUUUGGAACCCGAAGACUGUGCCAC